GACGAACCGUGCAAACGUUGUUCGGAAUCACUGGGCUUAAAGGGCGCGGAGGCGGGCUCGCCAGUCAGGGGUGAAAGCCCACAGCUCAACUGUGGAAGUGCCUUUGAUACUGCGAGUCUCGAGGGAGGUAGGGGCGUGCGGAACUUCCGGUGGAGCGGUGAAAUGCGUAGAUAUCGGAAGGAACACCGGUGGCGAAAGCGGCGCGCUGGACCUCUUCUGACGCUGAGCGCGAAAGCCAGGGGAGCAAAGCGGG
rnacentral:rRNA from 1 species